CUGAAAGAUAAUACUCAAAACAACAAUGAAUGUGUGUUUUUGUGUUUGUGAAGUAGGUGGUGAUCUGCUUAGUUUAGAAGCUGAGAGGACAGGGGGAGAGUGAGGCUAGGAAAUUGUAAUCGACCUGGAUUUUUAAUCAUAUAAUCUACCUUAUUUAUAAAAAAGGUUGAAAUUAUUAAAAAGGAAAAAAAACCCAACUGUAGCCUUUGAAUUCAAAACUAUAACUAGAUCGUGCUCGUGUGAAUAUUCAUUUUAUCACUUGAUUUAAUAUGUAAAAUUCUGUAUUUCUGUGUCAAUUUCAUGAACUCUGGAUUUCUAGCUCAUGUAUCUAUGGAUGAAGUGGUUGAAAUAAUGAAUGUUUUCUCAGUCUCAUAUUUGGAGUCUUAUGGGAGAGUUAUAAAUAACUUGGCACUUUCUGCAGAGGGAAUUUUUUUCUGUGACGGGGUAUCCAAAGUUUAAUUAAUUUUUAUCUCUUAAGCUUAGAUUUUUUUUUUAGCUGUCAUAUUUGAUUUGGUGGUUUUUAAAUAUAGACUGAGUACCAAAUGGUGCCUUGGACAUAAUCUUAUCUUGUAUGGGCAUUCAUUUGUGAUCAUAGAAUAUGAUUUUGGAAAAGGAGACUUCUGCUUGAAUUUAGAAAAGGAAGAUGAUUAAUUUUUAUCAUCUUCAAAUGCUUAAUAAUCUUCAAAACCUUUGUAACAUCCAUUACAUUCCUGUGGCUUUGGUUUGAAAUACUUUAUAGAGCUGGUUUUCCAAAACAAUUAAAAUCCAGUCAC
rnacentral:lncRNA from 1 species